rnacentral:misc_RNA from 1 species
UCCUCCUUACAGAGGCAGUUUGUUUCGAGUUCCCGGCAUGACCCGCUGGUAACAAAACAUGAGGGUUGCGCUCGUUGCGGGACUUAACCCAACAUUUCACAACACGAGCUGACGACAGCCAUGCACCACCUGUGAUCCUGCCCCGAAGGGAAGCCGUGUUUCCACGGCGGCCAGGAACAUGUCAAACCCAGGUAAGGUUCUUCGCGUUGCAUCGAAUUAAGCCACAUGCUCCACCGCUUGCGCGGGCCCCCGCCAAUUCCUUUGAGUUUUAAUCUUGCGAUCGUAGUUCCCAGGCGGUUCACUUAAUGCGUUAGCUGCGGCACCGAGGCAAAGCCCCAACACCUAGUGAACAUCGUUUAUGGCCAAGACUAC